UGCGUAGGCGGCCUAUUAAGUCAGGGGUGAAAGACGGUAGCUCAACUAUCGCAGUGCCCUUGAUACUGAUGGGCUUGAAUGAACUAGAGGUAGGCGGAAUGUGACAAGUAGCGGUGAAAUGUUUAGAUAUGUCACAGAACACCGAUUGCGAAGGCAGCUUACUAUGGUUUUAUUGACGCUGAGGCACGAAAGCGUGGGGAUCAAACAGGAUUAGAUACCCUCGUA
rnacentral:rRNA from 1 species